AUUGAACGCUAGCGCGAUGCCUUACACAUGCAAGUCGAACGGAGUUGCGAACGGGUGAGUAAUGUAUCGGAACGUGCCCAGUAGCGGGGGAUAACUACGCGAAAGCGUAGCUAAUACCGCAUACUCUUGGCGCGGCCGAUAUCGGAUUAGCUCGUUGGUGGGGUAACGGCGAACCAGGGAGACGAUCCGUAGCUGGUUUGAGAGGACGACCAGCCAAACUGGGACGGAAACAAGGCCCAGACCCCAACGGGAGGAAGCAGUGGGGAAUUUUGGACAAUGGGGGAAAACGUGAUACAGCCAUCCCGCGUGUGGGAUGAAGCCCUUCGGGUUGUAAGGCACUUUUGGCAGGAAAGCGGUACCUGCAGAAUAAGCACCGGCUAAAUACGUGCCAGCAGCCGCGGUAAUUC
rnacentral:rRNA from 1 species